UUUAAUCUGUGUUUUUUUCAGAAAUAUGUCUUGGUUGACUUUUAGUUUUAAAAAUUUACAGGAUUCAAAAUUAUCAAAAUUUUAUUUGUUAAAUCAUCUGCAAUAUUAAUGCUCUAAAAAUAAUACAAGGUUUUGUAGCAAAAUAAGACACUAAUUCGCCACAGUACAUCAAAACACUGAACGCGCCUUUCGCUAACCGCGUUAGCAUCAUCAAUAUAUGAUUAAAAUUAGACUAUUAUCUGCAAAUUAAACGUUUUUAUAGUCGCUCGGUUGGUACUGACCAAAAUUAAUUAGCGAGACUAUAGCAAUAGGAACAGAGGACUGAAAGGAUAUAUUAUCUCUGUUCAUAUUAUCUUUACUUUUAUUUAUUUUUACGCUCUCUUAAACAUCCGAUUGCCUGUAAUUUGAGACUUGUUUAAUUAAUUUUAAAUUAUUAAGAUCUGAUUUUUUCAAAAAUAUGUUGAGCAACGCAAUAUUUAUCCGCUCUACCAUAUCUGAGUCAUGUGUUCUUUAAAUAUAGUUAAUAUUGAUCGUCUAGUUAGCGCAACAUAUUUUCGAUUGAAUUUUUGAUAUAUUAAAUCUCAUAAAUACCCUUCCAGUGGAGGUGUUUUAGCUUUAGGAUUACCUAAUAGUUGUAAUUUAUUUUUAGCGCUAUAUACAAAUUUGUAAUUGACAUUCUUAAUUUUUUUAACCACGGGAUAGCUCAUCAAACGGUACUGAAAUAUAGUUUGGCGUAUCUUUCUUCACUUACCCUAUAGACAGACAUCAGGAUUGUAUAAAUGGUGUCCAACGUCUCUUCUUGUAGGUGGUCUUUAAGUACUGAUUGUGUAUUAUUAUUAACAGUGGGAAAAAAACUAUGUCCCUGCAGUGGAAAAAUCACCAGGUGCCCACAGGGGCAAUAUCACCAGGUCCCUGCAGUGGCAAAACCACCAGGUCCCUGCAGUAGCAAAAUCAACAAGUCCCUGCUAUGGCAAAAUCAACAGGUCUCUACAGUGGAAAAAUCAACAGGUCCCUGCAGUCGCAAAAUCACCAAGUCCCUGCAUUGGCAAAAUUACUAGGUCCUUGGAGUGGCAAAAUCGCUUGGCCCUUCCGUGGCAAAAUCGCCAGGUCCCUGCAGUGGCGAAAUCACUAGGUCCCGGCUGUGUCAAAAUCACCAGGUCUGUGCAGUAGGAAAAUCAUCAGGUCCCUGCAUUGGCAAAAUCACUUGUCCCUUCCGUGGUAAAAUCACCAGGUCCCUGCUGUGGCAACAUCACUAGGUCUCUGCAGUAGCAAAAUCACCAGGUCCCUGCAGUAGCAAAAUCAACAGGUCCCUGCUAUGGCAAAAUCAACAGGUCUCUACAGUGGCAAAAUCACCAGGUCCCUGCAGUAGCAAAAUCACCAGGUCCCUGCUGUGGCAAAAUCAACAGGUCCCUGCAGUCGCAAAAUCACCAGGUCCCUGCAGUAGCAAAAUCAACAGGUCCCUGCUAUGGCAAAAUCAACAGGUCUCUACAGUGGCAAAAUCACCAGGUCCCUGCUGUGGCAAAAUCAACAGUGAGGAAGAGGUGAAGAAAGAUACGUCAAACUAUAUUUCAUUACCGUUUGAUGAGCUAUCCCGUGGUUAAAAAAUAUUUAAGGAUGUCAAUUAUAAAUUUGUAUAUACUCGUAGCUCUAAAAAUAAAUUACAACUAUUAGGUAAUCCUAAAGAUAAAACACCUCCACUGGAAAGGUCGGGUAUUUAUGAAAUUCCAUGUAUCAAAAAUUCAAUCAAAAAUAUAUUGCGUUAACUAGACGAUCAAUAUUAAUUAGAUUUAAAGAACACAUGACUCAGAUAUGGGUAGAGCGGAUAAAUCUUGCGUUUCUCAACAUUUUUUUGAUACAGAUUAUUCUAUAGAUGUUAAUAAUUUAAAAUUAAUUAAACAAGUCCCAAAUUACAGGUAAUUAGAUGCAUAUGAGAGAAAUAACAUUUCCUUUCAGUUCUCUGUUUUUACUGUUCUAGUCUCGGUAAUUAAUUUUGCCACACUUGGUGAUCACCAACCGAGCGCCUAUAUAAACGCUCAAUUUGUAUAUAUUAAUUUAGUUUUAUUCAUCUGCUGAUGAUACUAACAUGGUUAACAAAACGCGCGUCCAAUGUUAAAAGUAAAGUAAGUUAUUGUGGUUAAUUAGUGUUUUAUUUUGAUAAUUAACAAUAUUACUUAAUCUAUUAUAUUAAUUAUUUAGUGUAAUGAUCAUCUGGUUACAGAUAUAAGCCUUGUAUAUAAGCUAUUUAUUAAAGGUAAUGCAAUAUUUAAGUAGGCCAUGAAAGGCCAUUGAAUGUUACUGCUGAAAAUAAUAUACAGUCUUUUUUUUAAAUAAGUGUACCACCCUGUAUAAUAAUUUUGUAGUGUGUAUCCAGAAUACUGUCCACGUCAAAUAUAUUUAUACUUGUUAUAUGAAUAAAAAACUUAUUAAAAA
rnacentral:lncRNA from 1 species